UACGGAGGAUGCGAGCGUUAUCCGGAUUUAUUGGGUUUAAAGGGAGCGUAGGCCGGCUUUUAAGUCAGCUGUGAAAGUCCGCGGCUCAACCGUAAAAUUGCAGUCGAAACUGGCAGUCUUGAGUACAGUAGAGGUGGGCGGAAUUCGUGGUGUAGCGGUGAAAUGCUUAGAUAUCACGAAGAACUCCGAUCGCGAAGGCAGCCUACCGGCGCGCAACUGACGCUCAUGCACGAAAGCGUGGGUAUCGAACAGG
rnacentral:rRNA from 1 species